rnacentral:rRNA from 1 species
GACGUACGCUGGCGGCGUGCUUAACACAUGCAAGUCGAACAGUGGCGAACGGGUGAGUAACACGUGAGUAACCUGCCCUCCACUUUGGGAUAACUCCGAGAAAUCGGGGCUAUUACUGGAUAGUGGGGGAUGGGCUGGCGGCCUAUCAGUUUGUUGGUGAGGUAGUGGUCACCAAUGCGUGACUGGUCGCCGGCCUGAGAGGGCGACCGGCCAAACUGGGACUGAGACACACGCCAGACGCCUCCGGGAGGCAGCGGUGAGGAAUAUGGCACCAGGGGCGAAAGCCUGAUGGCGCGACGCCGCGUGGGAGAUGACGGCCUUCGGGUUGUAAACCUCUUUCAGCAAGGAAGCGGUACUUGCAGAAGAAGCGCCGGCUAACUACGUGCCAGCAGCCGCGGUAAUAC